rnacentral:misc_RNA from 1 species
GCGGCUGCACAUUGUGGAUUGCUCGGGGAUUCCCGGAUCUCCCUGCGUGCCAGUGCGCUGCGCCCCG